UACGUAGGGGGCAAGCGUUGUCCGGAAUCAUUGGGCGUAAAGAGCGCGUAGGCGGCCCAGUAAGUCCGCUCUGAAAGUCAGGGGCUCAACCCCUGGAUGCGGGUGGAUACUGCUGGGCUAGAGUCCGGAAGAGGCGAGUGGAAUUCCUGGUGUAGCGGUGGAAUGCGCAGAUAUCAGGAGGAACACCUAUAGCGAAGGCAGCUCGCUGGGACGACACUGACGCUGAGACGCGAAAGCGUGGGGAGCGAACAGG
rnacentral:rRNA from 1 species